GUUUGAUAAUAACCAAUCAUCACCACAGUGGGAAGAUCCUUCUUGCAAAUUCCUGGCUGUGAUGCUGAGGGCUGACAAAGAGGAAAAUGGAUCAAUCACUGAGAAUGCCAAGCCUCGAAGCGAUAUAUUUAUGGCUUUCAAUGCAUCUGACCAAUCUGAAAGUGUUGCUUUACCUGAACCAUCAGAAGGUACAUCCUGGUUCAGGCUGG
rnacentral:misc_RNA from 1 species